rnacentral:miRNA from 1 species
AUUAGAUUGGGGCAAAAGUAAUUGCGGUUCUUGCAAUUAAAAGUAAUGGGAAAAACUGCAAUUACUUUUGCGCCAACCUAAU